CCUGCCCACAAGUCCCCGUCCCUCUGCUGAGCUGUGGCGAAGGCUCUGAGCAGCAGCUGCCAUGUGGACUGUGGCUGUGAGCCUCCUCUCAACAAGGCUUCUGGUAAAACCAAGACCUGUCCAUGGGGAAGCUCCGAGCCUUCCUUGCUGAGAUGCUGUCUGCGUGGCUGGCAUCAGGGUUGGAGCAGAGCUGUGCCUACAGGCUCCGGUCAGGCCCCCGUGGCCUGGACGGAGUCCUCACUCCCACGCCAGCCUCCCGUGCAAGCACGGGGGCAGAGGCCACACUGAGCUCAAUCCCCAGCAAGUCCUGCCCCACAACCAUUAGGCUACAGGACAUGCAAACAUGGCCAACGCAAAGCAUUCAAGUAGGAUGCUUCGUCUGACACGCCCUCAGCUCCUUUCUGAUGUGAAGCAGCACUGUGUGUUCAUCUCUUGCUGGCAUCUAAGUGGCUGGGAGAACGCUCAGAAAUUCUUUAACCUUUUUCUAAUAAUAUAAAAGUCUCAGUGCAGGGACUGUGCUGCACUCUACA